CAGUAGGCGUACCCAUCCAUGCGUGUGGAUAGGUGUGCGUGCAUGCACGUGUACAGAUGUGCCUUGAUAGGGGUGAGAUCCAUGGGGUUAAAUUCAGCCGGAGCCAUCCAGAGUGGAGCUCUAGUAAAGAUUUUCAAACCUGCAGGAACCCUGGCUCGCCCCCGGGCUCGGGGAAAUAACAUGCCACUGGCACUGGGAGGAGUGUGAAUACCUGUGCCUAACUCUUCUAGCAGCAAUGGAGGUGAAGGUUCCCCAUCCAGAGCAUGGGACUCACAGGGGAUUUAGUUGCAAUUUUCCCAGCUUGAAAGAAAGGCCUGAAGCUGAAGGGGCUAUAUACAAGUACUCCAAACCGUAGGGAGGCCCAGACUCUCAUCUGAAUAAAAUAAAAGCUCUGUUCCAGCAUGUGUACUAUCUAUAUCUCUAACGUAUCAUUCAUUUACUAGUACUAGAAUAUGGUUUGUUACUAGACACAUUACACCACAUACUGAUCUGUGUACUUGCACACAAUCAUACAAUGUAUUGUAAACCUCGAAGGUACCGGGUGCUUUCCUGUAAAUAUUCUACAAACAGUAACAAAUGACAUAUUAAAAUCUCUGUUAGCGAUGGAUGGGGCUACUUUUUUGAUUCAACUGAGGCUGUUGAUAUUCACUGAAUACAAAUACUGAUUUCCACC